ACACAACUCACGCACGCAAAACACCCGGCACGGGGCCCAAAGAGUCGUGCAGCGCCUGCCCCUUGCCCUUGUUUUCUCACGAUAUCCUGGCUGUGCGUGCAUGCGCCUCCCCUUCUACGAUCGUCAUUUUCUUUGUUGCUGCUCUUGCUCACGCUGAUGCCCGCCACCGCGAAGCCACCACCACCCACCACCGCCACUGAAACGACCGCUGACGGCCUUGUGUGGCUGCUCCGAGGCCCGCCGUUGUGAGCAUGCGAGGACGGUCUACUGCGCGUGCAGCCACGGUGCACCGUGACUUCAGAAGCCGCCAAUGAUGAGGGCGAGGGCAGAGGCGGGAAUACCGACAGCGGUGGCGGCGAUGGCAGGGCCGCGGACACGGUGCUGACCACGCUAUCUCCAACAAUGGUCACAGAGACGGGGGCCGCCAGCCGCGGCAGUGCCACGGCAGUGGAUGGCGCAACGCGGACGAGGCACCUCUGGAUGCCACUCCUCCCACUUCAGGACCUGGUUAAGCAGUUCACCACCCACCUAAACCACUACGGCCUCACGGAACAUGUGCCGAAGGCGCUCGUUGGUGCUAUGGCUAUGGUCAGUGCUGUCACUGACGCCGCCAAGGACGACGCCGACAGCAGCGACGGCGAACUGCAUCGUGCUCUAGAGGCCUUCACCCAGUACGCGCACGAGACGGCCUCGGUCGAGCUCAGCGUUGAUGUCUUCGACUCGAUCCGGGGCGCAUACAUGCUGCACAUGCACCCGCUUCGCGCGGCAGCAGCUCGCGCUGCAAAGUCUGACGACGCUGGUGAGACAGCAUCGCUGCGGCACGUGCCAGGCCUGUCCAUCGUGCGUGGCUGCAGCGGCUGCUUCCUCCACCCCCUGCCGGGUAGACGCGGCGCUUCAGGCUGGGCUGCGCCGGUGGCGGCAUAGACAUCCAUGCCGUCACGCAAGGCUACCCGGCGGAGACGGAGGAGCGCAUGUUUAUGCGUUCAAAUCUUCAGCGAUGCCACGGACGAGGGGCUAUCCGCCUUGCGCGAGUUCCAAACAGCGAUCGCAACAGACUCGGAGGGGGCGGCCGCGGCGCCGGCUAACGAGGACGGGGGGGGGGCUCCGGCGCUGUAGCUGCCGACCGUCCUUGCACUGCAUCAGACGCAUCAAAAACCGACACGUCUGUCGAAGCCUCCGUGCCGGUGGCGGCCGCGUUGUCGUCUGCCCCCGAGCAGAGCACCCGGGCAAGCACGCCAAUGCAGUAAAGACCACGACAGAGCUGACUGGGCAGAACUCUUGGUUCGGCGGCGCCUGUCAGGGAGCGCAUAACCGCGUAAAAGGUGCCGCACUCAGCAACGCUACUGCGUGCGUCUGCACGCUUGCGACCUGCUACUCUCCCCCAGCAGCUUUUCGCCAUCUCGUGGAGGGAGGACCUCGCGGCGGCGCGCGUACUGCUGGCCGAUGCAUCCGCGCUGCUGCGGUGCUGCUACGAGGUUUUCGACACCCUCCCGGCCACCUCCUCACCUGCCGAGCCGUGGUCGCCUUUCUCGGCGUCCUCUGCAUCUCUGUGCGGCCUCUCCGGGCUCCACAUGCGCGCCGCCGUUCCAGCCGCACUGCAACGCGGUGCCCUGUUUCAGGUGCGCGGCUGCCUUACCUGCUCUUUGGCGAGGAGCCAGCCCCCGCUUAUGCGACAGCGCCGUCCGGCAGCAUGCCGGAAGACGGCUGUGGUGUGCCUGCGGGGGCCGCUGCGACUCCGGCCAUUGACCUACUCGCCGCGGCGUUGAUGUUAUCAGCACCGUCCGCAGCAGCUUGAGCGUCGAUGCUGGCCGCCCGUGCUCCGCUCGCUCUCGACCGUGUCUUCCUCAAGGCGCUGCCGAAGCUGCAUCCGGCCAUCCUAGUGCUCACGAGUGACGUCCGCGAGGACGAGGUGGUGCCGACGACACUGCCGGAACGCGUAUACAGCGCAUGGUAGGCGCGUGCGGCGGCAACGCCCGUGCAGGGCACGUGCAGCCCCGCCGCAGCCACCACGACCGCCGCUCCCAUCACCGCAUCUGCCCCGCCGAAAAGCUCGGGCACUAGGGCUGUGAGGCGCAAGCGUGCGGCUGCAUCUGCUGGCGCUGGUGAUGUGGGAGAAGAGGAGAGAAUGAAUCUAUUUCACCAUCGUUACGUCCACCUCCGUGAGUGCUUCAGCUCUCUGGCCCACCUGUGCCCUGAGCUUCCAAAAUUGCGCUUUAGGGGAACGGAGGCGUACACGAUGGCACUCUUCUGCCUGCCGCGUAACGCGUCGCUGCAGGCGCUGGGGGGGGGACACUGGCAUAUCGACUGGGCUGCUCAGCCGAGGCUCAGUACAACGUGCGUGUCGCCAUCGCGCUCACAGCGCUGGAAGAGUUGGCUGGAGGCGCACUAGCCGCCAAGUUGGGCCGCCGCAGCUAACCCCCCCCCCCCCCCCCCCCCCAACUCCAUGCAUCUGCCUCGUCGCCCGCCGGGGAUGCUACCUUUACGCUUGAAGUCAUCACUACCGCGUUGCCCCACGACAGCAGGGCGGACCUGCUCAAGUACGCCCAUGCGUUUCUCGCUCGCUGAGGGGUCUGUGUGCGCCGUCGCCGCCGCGGCUGCCAUUGACGUCAUCAUCGCACCUCUUCACCACUCUUCACAUUUCGCUCUCCCCCGUUGUCGCCCUCGAAG
rnacentral:misc_RNA from 1 species